rnacentral:rRNA from 1 species
GACAGAGGAUGCAAGCGUUAUCCGGAAUCAUUGGGCGUAAAGCGCGUGUAGGUGGUGGGACAAGUCUGCUGUGAAAGCGCCUGGCUUAACCGGGCGAGGUCGGCGGAAACUGUCCGACUCGAGGACGGUAGAGGGGGGUGGAAUUCCCGGUGUAGUGGUGAAAUGCGUAGAGAUCGGGAGGAACACCUGUGGCGAAGGCGGCCCCCUGGGCCGGCCCUGACACUGAGACGCGAAGGCGUGGGGAGCGAACGGG